rnacentral:rRNA from 1 species
UGGUGGGUAGUUUGACUGGGGCGGUCUCCUCCUAAAGAGUAACGGAGGAGCACGAAGGUUGGCUAAUCCUGGUCGGACAUCAGGAGGUUAGUGCAAUGGCAUAAGCCAGCUUGACUGCGAGCGUGACGGCGCGAGCAGGUGCGAAAGCAGGUCAUAGUGAUCCGGUGGUUCUGAAUGGAAGGGCCAUCGCUCAACGGAUAAAAGGUACUCCGGGGAUAACAGGCUGAUACCGCCCAAGAGUUCAUAUCGACGGCGGUGUUUGGCACCUCGAUGUCGGCUCAUCACAUCCUGGGGCUGAAGUAGGUCCCAAGGGUAUGGCUGUUCGCCAUUUAAAGUGGUACGCGAGCUGGGUUUAGAACGUCGUGAGACAGUUCGGUCCCUAUCUGCCGUGGGCGCUGGAGAACUGAGGGGGGCUGCUCCUAGUACGAGAGGACCGGAGUGGACGCAUCACUGGUGUUCGGGUUGUCAUGCCAAUGGCACUGCCCGGUAGCUAAAUGCGGAAGAGAUAAGUGCUGAAAGCAUCUAAGCACGAAACUUGCCCCGAGAUGAGUUCUCCCUGAGACUUAGAGUCUCCUGAAGGAACGUUGAAGACGACGACGUUGAUAGGCCGGGUGUGUAAGCGCAGCGAUGCGUUGAGCUA